GUUUCCUGGGCAUCUUGUUAAAACGCAGAUUCUAAUUCACUAGGUCUGAGGAGAGGCCUGAUAGUCUGCAUUUCUAACAAGUUCCCAGGUGAUGCUGA
rnacentral:pre_miRNA from 1 species